rnacentral:rRNA from 1 species
AACGAACGCUGGCGGCAUGCCUAACACAUGCAAGUCGAACGAGACCUUCGGGUCUAGUGGCGCAUGGGUGCGUAACGCGUGGGAACCUGCCCUUAGGUUCGGAAUAACUCCCCGAAAGGGGUGCUAAUACCGGAUAAUGUCUUCGGACCAAAGAUUUAUCGCCUUUGGAUGGGCCCGCGUUGGAUUAGCUAGUUGGUAGGGUAAAAGCCUACCAAGGCGACGAUCCAUAGCUGGUCUGAGAGGAUGAUCAGCCACACUGGGACUGAGACACGGCCCAGACUCCUACGGGAGGCAGCAGUGGGGAAUAUUGGACAAUGGGCGAAAGCCUGAUCCAGCAAUGCCGCGUGAGUGAUGAAGGCCUUAGGGUUGUAAAGCUCUUUUACCCGGGAUGAUAAUGACAGUACCGGGAGAAUGAGCUCCGGCUAACUCCGU